rnacentral:rRNA from 1 species
AACGUAGGAGGCGAGCGUUAUCCGGAUUUACUGGGUGUAAAGCGCGUGCAGGCGGUUUGGUAAGUUGGAUGUGAAAGCUCCUGGCUUAACUGGGAGAGGUCGUUCAAAACUACCAGACUUGAGGGCGGUAGAGGGAGGUGGAAUUCCGUGUGUAGUGGUGAAAUGCGUAGAUAUACGGAGGAACACCAGUGGCGAAAGCGGCCUCCUGGACCGAUCCUGACGCUCAGACGCGAAAGCUAGGGUAGCAAACGGG